GCGGCGGUAGCUCAGUUGGAUAGAGUAGCUGGCUACGAACCAGUUGGUCGGGAGUUCGAAUCUUCUCCGCCGCACCA
rnacentral:tRNA from 4 species